UACGUAGGGUGCGAGCGUUGUCCGGAAUUACUGGGCGUAAAGAGCUCGUAGGUGGUUUGUCGCGUUGUUCGUGAAAACUCACAGCUUAACUGUGGGCGUGCGGGCGAUACGGGCAGACUGGAGUACUGCAGGGGAGACUGGAAUUCCUGGUGUAGCGGUGAAAUGCGCAGAUAUCAGGAAGAACACCCGUGGCGAAGGCGGUUCUCUGGGACGGUACUGACGCUGGAGACGCGAAAGCGUGGGGAGCGAACAGG
rnacentral:rRNA from 1 species